UCCAUGAUGGUCUAGUGGUUAGGAUGUGGUACUUUCACUGCCAAGGCCUUGGUUCAAUUCCCAGUAAGGGAA